rnacentral:tRNA from 1 species
GGAGAGCUGACCGAGAGGCCGAAGGUGCUCGCCUGCUAAGCGAGUAACGGGCAAAACCCGUUCCAGGGUUCGAAUCCCUGGCUCUCCGCCA